GUGGGGAAUAUUGGACAAUGGGCGAAAGCCUGAUCCAGCCAUGCCGCGUGUGUGAAGAAGGUCUUCGGAUUGUAAAGCACUUUAAGUUGGGAGGAAGGGUAGUAACCUAAUACGUUGCUACUUUGACGUUACCGACAGAAUAAGCACCGGCUAACUUCGUGCCAGCAGCCGCGGUAAUACGAAGGGUGCAAGCGUUAAUCGGAAUUACUGGGCGUAAAGCGUGCGCAGGCGGCUAUGCAAGACAGAUGUGAAAUCCCCGGGCUCAACCUGGGAACUGCAUUUGUGACUGCAUGGCUAGAGUGCGUCAGAGGGAGGUGGAAUUCCGCGUGUAGCAGUGAAAUGCGUAGAGAUGCGGAGGAACACCGAUGGCGAAGGCAGCCUCCUGGGAUGACACUGACGCUCAUGCACGAAAGCGUGGGGAGCAAACAGGAUUAGAUACCCCUGUAGUCC
rnacentral:rRNA from 1 species